UUUUGUUUUGUUUUGCUUUAUUCCAUUUCAUUUUUUUUUUUUGAUUUUUUUUUUCGAGGCUUUGCGUGUCCUUCACCAGCCAGAAACCAUCACGUAAACAUCCGGCCGCUGCGCCAGGCGGAGAGCGCACGGCGAGGGAGGAUGCGUCCUGCCUCCCCCUCCGGCCUCCCCUGCCACGGGUCCGGGUGGCACCGGGGUGAUCCCCCCGGGAUGGGCAGGGUUGGCACACUCAGGCCAUGUCCCCGGCACGAGGGACGUGGGGGACAGAGGCUGAGCGCUGGUGGCAGCCGGCUCGGAGGAACGCACUCCGUCUCUCCGGAGAGAUUUCGGAGCUCGUGCUGUGCCGGGGCAGGAGGCGCGGGGAGGCCCUGAGCACCUCUGCCAAGACUUAAUCAGCAGCUCCCCAGGCCGGAGGUGUUGCUUCAAUCUUUCCGAGGGUUCAGGGAGGUCAAAGACUUUUUCCGACGGUUCCCAUCGGGCCGCACCUUCCCCAGAUUGCAUCAACGCGAGAGACCGCGCUAUCCGCCGCGCCUGGCCCCGCGGUUAGCUCAUCCCUUGGCCGGGAUGUUCCCAUCCUGUUUGGAUUUAUUCACCCAUCUGCCACGGAUCCCGGGGGCCGCUUCUGGUCUGCCCUCCUGGGGACCCCUCGUCGGAACGCCUGCAAGUGCGGGUGCCCCUUGCGUGAGCGUCAGAACUGGGGGUCCCAGCUGCAACUUGAGCCCCAUCUCUGCCCUCCUGUGGGGCUGGGAUCGCUGCAGGGGCACGCAGGGCUGCUCCCCCCAUGGCCGCAGCUGUGGCUCGUCCUCUGCUUGUCCCCAGGGGUGUCCCAUCCAAGGGAACGGCCACCGAUGGGAGAAGGGGGGCCAGGACCGCCCGACAGAGUGACGAGAUCCACGCGGAGGAGGCUGUUGGGAGGGGGAAGCAGCCCUGACCCAGAAGUGACCCAAAAGAGCAAUAAACACAGAAAUACGCCGAGGCCCCCCCCGGGCGGGCGGUUUGUCACACGGCGUGCCAGGAUGUCACCGUGGCACUCGCUGCCCUGCGCUCCGGCUGCGUGCGGGCACCGUGCUCCCUGGCACCCGCUGGGCAUCCCCAGGCAGGACGGGGGGGCAGCCCCCGCCGUGUCCCCCCCCGGGGGGCCAGGGGGACAGGAGGGGGCCAGGGGAGGUGCGGGGUCGGGGGCAGCCAGCCCCACAGCGCUCCGAGCCCCAGGGGAGCCGCUGAGGAUCCAGGAGCUUUUCUGGUGAAGACAGCGCUGGGGCAGAGUCAGCUUACGUUUAUUUUUUCCCCUAAUAAAAAACUAAUAAAGGAGAAAAUGAAAAAAUAA
rnacentral:lncRNA from 1 species